UACAGAGGUCUCAAGCGUUGUUCGGAUUCAUUGGGCGUAAAGGGUGCGUAGGCGGCGCGGUAAGUCGGGUGUGAAAUCUUGGAGCUUAACUCCGAAACUGCAUUCGAUACUGCCGUGCUUGAGGACUGGAGAGGAGACUGGAAUUUACGGUGUAGCGGUGAAAUGCGUAGAUAUCGUAAGGAAGACCAGUGGCGAAGGCGGCUUCCUGGCCUGUAACUGACGCUGAGGAGCGAAAGCGUGGGGAGCGAACAGG
rnacentral:rRNA from 1 species